CCCUUAGAUGUUCUGGGCCGCACGCGCGCUACACUGAUGAAUUCAACGAGCUCCUAACCUAGGCCGAAGGGUCCGGGUAAUCUUUGAAAUUUCAUCGUGAUGGGGAUAGAUUAUUGCAAUUAUUAAUCUUCAACGAGGAAUUCCCAGUAAGCGCGAGUCAUCAGCUCGCGUUGAUUACGUCCCUGCCCUUUGUACACACCGCCCGUCGCUCCUACCGAUUGAAUGGUCCGGUGAAAUGUUCGGACCGCGACAAGGCGGACGGUUCGCUGUCAGCUUUGCUGCGGGAAGUUCAUUAAACCUUAUCAUUUAGAGGAAGGAGAAGUCGUAACA
rnacentral:rRNA from 1 species